rnacentral:rRNA from 1 species
CGCAGCCGCGGUAAUUCCAGCUCCAAUAGCGUAUAUUAAAGUUGUUGCAGUUAAAAAGCUCGUAGUUGAAUUUCGGGAUCAAUACGUCGGUCGUGCUUCGGUACGUACUGGCGUAAUUGAUUUCUCCCUUCUGACGAACCAUGAUGUCAUUAACUUGGUGUCAUGGGAAAUCAGGACUGUUACUUUGAAAAAUUAGAGUGUUUAAAGCAAGCUAACGCUUGAAUACAUUAGCAUGGAAUAAUGAAAUAGGACGUUCGAUCCUAUUUUGUUGGUUUCUAGGAUUGACGUAAUGAUUAAUAGGGAUAGUUGGGGGCAUUAGUAUUCAAUUGUCAGAGGUGAAAUUCUUGGAUUUAUUGAAGACUAACUACUGCGAAAGCAUUUGCCAAGGAUGUUUUCAUUAAUCAAGAACGAAAGUUAGGGGAUCGAAGACGAUCAGAUACCGUCGUAGUCUUAACCAUAAACUAUGCCGACUAGGGAUCGGAUGAUGUUAAUUUUAAUGUACUC